CUACUACUCCCUCCGUUUCAAAUUACUCGUCGCAGAAAUGGAUGUAUCUAGAACUAAAAUACAUCUAGAUACAUCCAUACCUGCGACAAGUAAUUCGAAACAAAGGGAGUACAUG
rnacentral:pre_miRNA from 1 species